rnacentral:rRNA from 1 species
GAUGAACGCUGGCGGCGUGCCUAAUACAUGCGAGUCGAGCGAACAGAUGAGGAGCUUGCUCCUCUGACGUUAGCGGCGGACGGGUGAGUAACACGUGGAUAACCUACCUAUAAGACUGGGAUAACUUCGGGAAACCGGAGCUAAUACCGGAUAAUAUACUGAACCGCAUGGUUCAAUAGUGAAAGACGGUUUUGCUGUCACUUAUAGAUGGAUCCGCGCCGCAUUAGCUAGUUGGCAAGGUAACGGCUUACCAAGGCAACGAUGCGUAGCCGACCUGAGAGGGCGAUCGGCCACACUGGAACUGAGACACGGUCCAGGCUCCUACGGGAGGCAGCAGUAGGGAAUCUUCCGCAAUGGGCGAAAGCCUGACGGAGCAACGCCGCGUGAGUGAUGAAGGUCUUCGGAUCGUAAAACUCUGUUAUUAGGGAAGAACAAAUGUGUAAGUAACUAUGCACGUCUUGACGGUACCUAAUCAGAAAGCCACGGCUAACUACGUG